rnacentral:rRNA from 2 species
GUACGUUUUCACCCUCGGGUGACAGGGAGACAGGUGGUGCAUGGUUGUCGUCAGCUCGUGUCGUGAGAUGUUGGGUUAAGUCCCGCAACGAGCGCAACCCCUACGUUUAGUUGCUAACGCGUGAAGGCGAGCACUCUAGACGAACUGCCGUUGACAAAACGGAGGAAGGUGGGGAUGACGUCAAAUCAUCAUGCCCCUUAUGUUCUGGGCUACACACGUGCUACAAUGGCCGGUACAGACGGACGCAAAGCCGCGAGGUGGAGCAAAUCCUAAAAAGCCGGUCUCAGUUCGGAUUGCAGGCUGCAAUUCGCCUGCAUGAAGUCGGAAUCGCUAGUAAUCGCAGGUCAGCAUACUGCGGUGAAUACGUUCCCGGGCCUU